rnacentral:rRNA from 1 species
AUUGAACGCUGGCGGCAGGCCUAACACAUGCAAGUCGAACGGUAACAGGAAGAUGCUUGCUUCUUUGCUGACGAGUGGCGGACGGGUGAGUAAUGUCUGGGAAACUGCCUGAUGGAGGGGGAUAACUACUGGAAACGGUAGCUAAUACCGCAUAACGUCGCAAGACCAAAGAGGGGGACCUUCGGGCCUCUUGCCAUCGGGUGCCCAGGUGGGAUUAGCUAGUAGGUGGGGUAACGGCUCACCUAGGCGACGAUCCCUAGCUGGUCUGAGAGGAUGACCAGCCACACUGGAACUGAGACACGGUCCAGACUCCUACGGGAGGCAGCAGUGGGGAAUAUUGCACAAUGGGCGCAAGCCUGAUGCAGCCAUGCCGCGUGUAUGAAGAAGGCCUUCGGGUUGUAAAGUACUUUCAGCGGGGAGGAAGGGAGUUAAGUUAAUACCUUUGCUCAUUGACGUUACCCGCAGAAGAAGCACCGGCUAACUCCGUG